rnacentral:rRNA from 2 species
AGAGUUUGAUCAUGGCUCAGGAUGAACGCUGGCGGCGUGCCUAAUACAUGCAAGUCGAGCGAACUGAUUAGAAGCUUGCUUCUAUGACGUUAGCGGCGGACGGGUGAGUAACACGUGGGCAACCUGCCUGUAAGACUGGGAUAACUUCGGGAAACCGAAGCUAAUACCGGAUAGGAUCUUCUCCUUCAUGGGAGAUGAUUGAAAGAUGGUUUCGGCUAUCACUUACAGAUGGGCCCGCGGUGCAUUAGCUAGUUGGUGAGGUAACGGCUCACCAAGGCAACGAUGCAUAGCCGACCUGAGAGGGUGAUCGGCCACACUGGGACUGAGACACGGCCCAGACUCCUACGGGAGGCAGC